CUUGCCUUCACUAUUGACUAUAUAAAUUAAUUAUGAACAGGGCAGCAGUGUAAAUAAACGGGACCAUUUGAUUUUCAAAUAUAAAAAUACAUAUUGUAACGACCCCGCGUUACUGUUUUAGGAAGGAAACGAAUAAAUGUAAAUAGUUGCAUUCUGGGAAAUAAUGUGAAAUGUGGGUAUGCAACCACUGGGGGCACUUAGGGGGAAAAUAAUGGGGUAACCGUGCCUAGGAGUGUGCCUGGCUAGGCUGGAAUGAUGGGCUUUUGUUUUAUUUAAUUUUAUUUUUUGGUAUGACAGCUUUUUAGGAUUUAUUUAUUGAAUAAAGGCUUUAAUUACCGGAAAUGAUGAGUAGCGAUGUUAGUUUUUGUCGAUUUGGACAAUGUGUGGAGCCAGACACUUUUAGGUAGACUGGUGGUCCAUUCUGACCCGUAGAAAAAUAAAAUAGGUGCAAGUCCUGAGGAAAACGGGAUCCUCGGACCGCGAGCAUUAUUUCCCCGGUGCCGGUGUUCCUAUAAUAAACCGUUCGUUAUGAACGCUGCCUUUGCGUCCUUCUUCACCCCAUCCAAACCCACGGCGCUGCGCUCCACAGUAUAAUAUUUAUUAAACAAUCGAGGUAUUUCGGUUAGUGUUUUUCACUGUGCCGUCAAGUCCUGCGGAGAGGUACGAGUGUGUAGCGCCCUUCCCUCGGCCGCAACGAGAACACACGCACCGUUCCGCAUCGUUCCGCAUCGUUCCGCACCGCAGCUUCAGUGUGUCAGUGUGACCGUCCGCCCGACUCGCUGCGGCUCCUAAUUCAAGUCAUAUGUCUGGAAAUGUGUAUUGGACACGGUCUCUGCACUCUCUUGGGCUUCAGAGCAGGAAGGAGUUACAUACGCGGACUGCGUUCACUUAAACGCGAGGAAUACUUGAUAUUUUCUAACCAGUGACCAUUCCGUCGAUGAUUGUUUUGUAUUUGAUGCUAAAAUACAAAUUGACAAAGGUUAAUAAGUCUUUUGUGUAUCUGAUCGUCAGCGAGGGACGAGGAUGUGCAGCCUGCGGUGAGCUUUUUGCCAGUAUUGCUACCUGUCCACCUGCCUGCGUGUGCUCCCGCCGUAAUACGGACCAGCAUGAGCGUACUGCCCCCUGUUCGGAAGGACCGAAUAAUCACUGAACUUCCUAGGGUAAUCCUUGAAUGUUUUAUUUAUUUUCUUUAUAUAUUAUAUAUUACCCAUGCCUAAUGCAGCAUCCCUCUUGUCUGCCAGCCAGGAGCAGGACACAACUCGCUUUGAUUCAUACCACCCACUGGAAGCUAUAAAC
rnacentral:lncRNA from 1 species